CCUGCCCAUGUUCUACUCGGGCGGCGCCGGACACGCCCGACAACUGCGUCAUCAGUCCCACGCCGAGCCAGGGCCACCUAGGCCACCACAGCCGCGACUCCAGCCUCACCGAGGACAGCUAUGUGCCGAUGCUGCGUGUGGCGGCCGACAUCGGCGCCGACGACGCCAGCUACAUGUCCAUGAAGCCCGGCCUGCCGCCUCUCUCGGACGACAUCAGCCACAGUCGCAGCUCCAGCGCGGCGGACCAAGACGGCUACGUGCCGAUGGUGCCCGGUCAGCUGUCGUUCAACCGUCGACGC